AUCAAUGUCAUCGCGACUUUGUCGUUGAUCAAAGGGCUAAAACGCAAACGUAACACGACACGGGACGAUGCCUGAUAUUACAAUCGUUUAGUUUGAAAUAUUACGGAAAAAUGGAAUUCUUUCUUAUGAAAUUCCGCACGUAUAGACAUGUAAUUCGUCGUUAAAAAUUAACGAAUAAGAGGAUUUUUUAAAGAGAAACUUUUAAAAAGGAUUCCAAAUACUUAGAAACGCAUAAUAAUUUUAUUAAGUUGGAAAAGUUGGUGACAGGUGAGUAGUUCAUAAUAGACUUUAUAGAUUAGGUGUAUCGAAUGCAUAGGAUUUUAUCUGGAUAGGUAAUUACAUUGGAAAUUCCGGUGAAAGAUUAAAUAAAAGCAUUUGACCUUUACAAAAACUGAAUCGAUAAUAAGUAACACGAAUUUUACUAUUCUAUAUAUACGUAUGUAGAAGAAAGUGUCCAAGUGUGACAUGUCUAACAGAAAAAUGUCAUGAAUUACGUAAUUAUUAUUUUUUCUGUUGUGGACUUUACUUCAUCUCGCGAUGGAAUUAUGUUUCGCUAAGUGGUUGUUUUCUCCAAUUACCAGUUGCUCGUGUUAUGGAUAAGUAAUGCGAAGAGGGUAAACCUCAGCGACAGUAAUGAAAUUAUCGUUAAUAUUGUUUCAAGCUAACGCUCAUUUCGAUUAAACAGCACGCUUUACUUCCGAUAGACAGCGAAGCGGCUUUGUAUUUGCUAGUUGGGACAAGGAACAAUCAAAUUUUGCUUGUAUCAUGUCAGAAUGUUUGUUAAUACAAAAAGGAAUAUCAAA